AUCGACUUACAACGGGAACUAAAGUGAAGAAGAGAAAAACCUGGAAUUAAGAGACUGAACUAGCACCACACUGAAAUCAACCAACAAAAAGCAAACAGCAACAGAAAACCAACUUUUGAGCAACAACAGCCUCAAACUUCUCAAAUGACUUCCAUUUAUAAACCAAAAUCUAGAAUCGAAGUGAAACAAAAGACUAUUAUUUCGAGAUGCUAAAUAAACCUG
rnacentral:lncRNA from 1 species